GUUGUCUACUCUCCUAGCUGGCUUUUUCUCCCUCACCCUGCAGCAGGCUGCUCUCAUCUUUUAAAGGCCUGUCUACUAAUUGACUAGCUACAGGUGAGUGCCAAUUAGUUAACUCUUAAGUCAGAUCCAAAUUCUGGUCUGUUACAGAAUUUCCAAAUACUCCGCCCCAGGGACCGUGUUUUGCAGAGCAUCAGCAAUGUAUAUUGUAAAC